rnacentral:lncRNA from 1 species
UUUGAACUAUACACUUUCAAACAUACUCUGGAAAAUGUUUGCUUCUUUUUUCAAUUUCACAUAAUUUUGUGUAAUUUUCUUUUUUCCAUAAAAAUAAAAUAGGUUAGGUGUCAGCUCCCAUACAUCUUCCCCUUCCCAAAAUCAGUUCUCUGGAGUUCUAAUUAGUGGAUUUUUAACGAAUUACGUUGUUUUUCUGUUUCUCAAAUGCAUAAGCAGAGAUAGAGGGCAUGUUACUGAUAUAAAGCAUAAGUGAUAUUUUGGCAAGGAUUGGGCUUUAUUUUCAGGACCUAUUAGAAUCAUAAAUCCAUGGAAACGGAGCAGUUGCCAACACAUUUUUAUUUAGUGAAAAAGAACUGCUUCUGAAUAGUGUGCAUUAUGUUUUCCAAUAUCGUACAUUUGCUACAAAGUGCACUAAUGUAGUCUAAACAUUAAUUGAACAUUCAUAAUGCUGUAGUUGCUGUCUAGUAAACACAGUAUUAACCUUGUCCUAUUUUGCUUUCUUUGAUGACAAACUUUGGAGCAGCAGAAAAUUACAUGGCUAAGAUGUAAGUUUAUCUGAUUGUAGUAGUCUCACCUUAAUAAAAGCUUGUGUCAGCACAUGAUGGAGAAAUGAAAUAAAAAGUAGGUAAUAUCACUUAAAGCCCAAGAAUUGUCACUUAUACACAGUGCAUUUAUAAUGCACUAUGGUUUUGUCAAACAAAACUCCUCAAGCAACACAUACUAGCUUCAGUUUUUUGUCUAGGAUAAGAACGAUUAAUACGUUGGCAUUUUAAGUUUUUAAAAUUCUGCUUUCAGGCUUGAUAAAAGUUAUUUCCUUUGGAAAGUAUCAAUUAGUUUUUUCGUGUGAUUUCCCUAAUUUGUGAGCAAUAAAGAUAACCAAGCAUAUAUUUUAUUAGGUGAACAAAUAAGAAAAUUGUUUGUUUCAAAUAUGAAUAAAGAAUAAUUUUCUUGCAAAUCAAAACCACAAUGAGAUACCAUGUCACACCAGUUAGAAUGGCGAUCAUUAAAAAGUCAGGAAACGACAGGUGCUGGUGAGGAUGUGGAGAAACAGGAACACUUUUACACUGCUGGUGGGACCGUAAACUAGUUCAACCAUUGUGGAAGACAGUGUGGCAAUUCCUCAAGGACCUAGAACUAGAAAUAUUUGACCCACCCAUCCCAUUACUGGACAUAUACCCAAAGGAUUAUAAAUCAUGCUGCUGUAAAGACACAUGCACACGUGUGUUUAUUGCGGCACUAUUUACAAUAGCAAAGACUUGGAACCAACCCAAAUGUCCAUCAGUGAUAGACUGGAUUAAGCAAAUGUGGCACAUAUACACCACGGAAUACUAUGCAGCCAUAAAAAAGGAUGAGUUCAUGUCCUUGGUAGGGACAUGGAUGAAGCUGGAAACCAUCAUUCUCAGCAAACUAUCUCAAGGACGAAAAACCAAACACCACAUGUUCUCACUCAUAGAUGGGAAUUGAACAAUGAGAACACUUGGACACAGGGUGGGGAGCAUCACACACUGGGGCCU